GUCAAAGUGUUAUUACAGAUUAUCUAUUUUCUGAACAUCAAAUUAUUAAUUUUUGUCCCGUUUUGGACUUAUUCUGGCCUACUGUGCAACGAUGAUGCCAUUCAGUCCUUGGGGUGAAAGUCUACUAUGUAAUGAUAAUAUAACACAGAAACUAGUGGGUUCAAACUGAGGAGCCGAUUCCUCCACACUGAGAACCUCUACCAUUGCACUUGUGUACUCUGUAGCGAAAUAUUAUGUGCCUGUUUGGAUAAACAGUACACAUGUGAAACGGAUUGAUUCACAGCUCAAUCAUAGCAUGCGCACGAUAUCAGGAACAUUCAAAUUGACCUCUGUUCAAUGGUUACCGGUUUUAUACAAUAUCGUUAGAACCGCUCUACGCCACAAACAGUCACUCCUAAAAUUACGAAGGAAAUGUAAUUCUAACCCCUCAAUACGUAUUCACUGGUACGGCAACAUUCUCAUAGGCGCACAAAGGCUCAAAUCAAGGAAACCACCCUGGAAUACCGCCAUAGAAUUCGAAAUCUCUCGUUUUAAUAUUCUAAACGCUUGACGGGGAGAUUGGGUAGCACCACAGCCGGAAAAACUAAUGUAAAGUCGGCAGUUAUCAAAACUUUAAUCGAAAGGGGCCAUCCUUAAUCGAAUCAUGACGGGACACGGAAAAUGUGGAUACCUGAUGCACAAUGGCGUCUAACCUCAGCUCAAGAUUGUGACUGUGGCCCAUAUAAUCAGACUAUUUUACACAUCAUAAGCGAGUACUCAAAUCAUAAAUUCAACGGAGCACUUAAGGACUUUGCCAACGCAACUCCAUACGUUAUCGAAUGGAUACGACAUUAAGAUAUUAAUCUAUGAUUAUGAUUAUUGUGUGUUAUUUAUAAUGUAUAAUAUGUAACAUCAUUGCUGAUCUCUCCUACUUAUGUAUUAAUUUUUUAUGUUUUCUAGCCAUACGAAUAAAUAAAAUAAAUUAUUAUCAAUUUAUGUGUCAUUAUUAUCUACCUUUGUGGUCCGGUUGAGUUAUCAAUUUCAGAGAAUAUUUAACUACCUACUACCCAGUAGAGUAAGAAGUACCUAACCGUAAUCCGUACUCGUGUCUUAUAUACCUGAAUUACUACAUACUGCUACUCUGUGCUUUCACUUUUACUAUAGGUACCGAAUAAUUUUACACGUAUGUUCCGCUGGCAAUAUUUGAUAAGAAUCGCCAGUCCCCAGUGGUUCCCAAUUUUGUAUACAAUGUUGCCUAUUGAAUUCCUGAAAUUGGACUAUUAAUGGUUAAAGAAAUUGUCUAUCCAGCAC